rnacentral:rRNA from 1 species
ACAGAGGUGGCGAGCGUUGUUCGGAUUUACUGGGCGUAAAGGGUGCGUAGGCGGUAUCGUAUGUCGGAUGUGAAAGCUCACGGCUCACCCGUGGAACGGCAUCCGAAACUACGGAACUAGAGUACAGGAGAGGAGAGCGGAAUUCUCGGUGUAGCGGUGAAAUGCGUAGAUAUCGAGAGGAACACCGGUGGCGAAAGCGGCUCUCUGGACUGAUACUGACGCUGAGGCACGAAAGCCAGGGUAGCAAAAAGG